ACCCAGGUAUUUAGAUGUUCUAAAACCCUAAAUCUCCACCUCUUUCACCUCCGCUUCAUUCUUCUCCUUCAUGAUGUGAUAAUCCUUCCUCUUGUUCAUUCUUUUCCUUCUUCAACUUCUGUAAUCCAUUAACCUCUGUAAUCAAUCGAGUAAAUUCCCAGAUCUCAAUUGUCUUCUUUCUUCUACUUUUACAAUCUCAAUCCACCACUUCCUCUCACUAUUCCAAUGCAUGGUAUUUUUUGUGCUACCGGUAAAGAGAUUUGUCCCAGAUGAUGGUUGUCACCAAACUUCGAAGGAGAACUUGCAGACCCCAGGUAUGUUUAUGCCCUUUGAUAGACGAUAUAGUAGAGACUUAUCAUUCACUUCUAUAAAAGGGUAUUAGUCAUUUUGUAUCUCCCGGUUAUGAAGAAGUCAUGGAAGCCCUAAAAAAACGGCCUUCUCCAUCACUACGGUUGUCAAUCGUUCGUUUUGUGGCUGCCGACCUGACAAAUUCACAACGGUAAGAUUUUGAUUUCUAUGAUGUAUUUGUUGUGAGGGAUUUUGGAAGUUUUUAUAUAUUUUAUAUAUGUUGAAAUGUGUUGUUUUGGAUAUCAUGUAUAUUGUUCACUUUUUUUAUGAGAUCUGAUAACAUGUAGCUUUUGUUUUGUUUAGUUGUGAAUUAUCAAAUUUAGGGGUAAAUUUUAUAAAAAAAGGUAGAAAUCGUGAGUGAGUUAUUCUGACGACAAUCUGAUAACAUGUAGUUUUUAGUGCCUUUUUUGGCCAUUAAUUAUAAAAAAAAUACAACUGAGACAACAAUUUUAUCCUUUAUUCAUGACACAAAAUCGUUUGAUGUCUCAUGAUCCACGAUUAAAAACAAAGGAGGAUCCGGCUGCAGUUGCAAGUUGUGUGAAGGUCUGUUGACGUUCUUUAUUGUUGUCAAAUGGGACUCUUUUAUAUUGAAGAUUUAAUUCACUUGCUUUUUUACAAGAACCACCCGAAUUAUUUGCCGAUGUUGCUAUUAUUCCACUUCAUGAACUCAUGUAUAAAGUCAGAGAAAUUAAAAGCAAAGCCGAACAUGAUUGAACACAUAGGAAAGGAUACUCAUUUUGUGUUUUAAAAUUUUAAUUUUUUUAAUAUAUGUUAUGGUGUGGUGACAUGAUUGGUGUACAUAUUGCUGCAACACUUCGCUAUUGAAACAAGAUUACCAUUUGUAUCAGCUGAAAAUAAGUUUGGGGAUCUUCACUUUCUUACAGGCUAUCGAGGUUGUUGACCUUGACCAACAAAACAAAGAUGGUUACGGAGCUUGAUGGUCAUGUGAUGCGUUGUGUACGUGAUCAAAAUGGCAAUCAUGUUAUUCAGAAGUUAUUAGAUGUGUACCAGAAAAUGCUAUUCAUUUUAUAAUCUCUACUUUCUAUGAUCAAGUUGUAACUUUGUCAACCCAUCCAUAUGGUUGUCGUGUCAUACAGAUAGUUUUGGAACACUGUCAUGACCCUAAAACACUAAGCUUAGUGUUGGAUGAAAUCUUGAAAUCUAUCAAUAUGCUGCCCAACAUCAAUAUGGAAAUUAUGUGGUUCAGGUCAAAUUUGGUGGCUGCUAUUGUUGAUAAGGACUGAUUAGUCUUGGGCAUAUCUGUUCAUUUACCUGUUACAGGUCAUAUGCGUCAAUUCUUGCGUUGAUCGGUUGCAGGUUCAUCAGACAACACUAUGUCACCUUCAGCAAAAGAUGGUUUAACCAUAUGGGAAAAACAAAUGGUUUAACGCUAUGGGAUUUUGAGAGAUCUGGUAUUUUGGAGGCACUCUUGGGAUACCGACUUCACUACGAGCAAUUAAAUGUGCCGUACUCAAGAGUAAAAAGCAUGGGCUACUUAAAAGUUUUUAAAAUACUUUUAAGUAUUUUUUUUUAUUUCACAAUGUAUUAUUUAUUCUAUCUCAUGAUAGUUCAUGGUAUUUGCUACUAAGAAGUAAUUUAAAAUUUUUCAAAUAUUUUUAUUUUAUAUUUCAGAACGUAUUAUUUA